UAGUUAAAUAUUGUGUGAUAGUCGGUAUGUGAGUACAUUUGUUUCGUAGAUUAUGUGUCCUUCUUUCUGUGAUUCCGAGGACGGAAUCCGUUUAAGGAGGGUAGAUUGUAAUGACUCGGAUUUUUUUUUAAAAUCUAUUUAUUAUUAUAAAAGUGAUUUUCUUCAAGGAAGGGAAUAAGAUUUAAUAUUUUAUUCCAGUUUAAUUAAAUCAAAAUUUUAUAUUUUAAACUCCGAGUUAUUGUGUUGUUGGUAUAUAAUUGUUUCCAAAAAAAAAAAAAAAAUGAGUUUCAUAUAUUAUUUUGAAAAAUUCUAAAUGAUUAUUAUGUGAUUAUAUUCUCGAGAGUCGGUGUAUUUUAUUUCUAUUGGAUUGUUGAGUUGUGUUAUCGAUUUGCAUUUGUUAUGGAUUUUAUACUGAUUUAAUUAUAUAAAAUAGUGUAUUGCAUAUAAAAUCAUUUUUAUCGCUUUAUAAUUCUAUUAAAUAUUUUUAGAGGUAUAUAGAAUUCAUAAAACGAUAUUUUGAUAAUUCUCCAGCUCUAAAUAAUUUUCCGUAUAGAUUAAAGUGGGGUCUUUCUAUUUAUUUCAAAAAUGAUUCAAAAAUCAUGAAAAUCAUAUUUUAUUAGUUUUUAAUUAUUUUAAGAUUUUAAAAAUUAUUUUGGUAUUUAUCUGGAUUAUUUUAUCUGCGAGUUGUUCGUUAAUUUGUUAAAUUCGGUUCGGUACCAGGCCAGCCAGCAGAGGGACACGUAUCCUUUACUCCGAUACGUGUCAUCACAGGAUGAAUCAGUUUAUAUAAACUGAAUUAUUUUGUUUUUCUUUUAAAUCUCUCUGCUCUCUCCCUUUCUCACUGUUUCUCUCAUUUUUCUCUCUCUCGACCACUCUCUCCCCAGGUUCCCUCUCUCGCUCAUCUCCCACUCUCAUCUCUCUUUCUCUCUAAUCUCUCUCACCCUCACACACCUCUCGCCUGAAUCUCCCUCCACUGGCCAAGUCUCUCUCUCGCCGUCUCUCUCCGCGCGGCUCUUACUCCGGCGAACCACCACUUCCUCAGCCGUUCUUCACCUCUCCCUGGGUCUCUCUCGCCGCCGUCAGCCACCAGACUCGGCAUCUCUCUCUUGCUCUGGAUCGAGCAUUGAAGGCGUGAUACCAAGCAAAGGCAAGAAAAGGGGAGAGUUGUAUAGCGGUUCUGUAGUUACGGAUUGUUCGAGACGAGUAGAACCAGACGUUGGGGAUCAAGACUGAAGUUAGAUAAGAUUUCGUAUCAAGCUGCAGCAACCGCAUGAGCGCCAUAACAGAAAAUCAGGAAUAGUUGAGGGUGAUGUCUUGAGAAAGCAGAAUAAGAUAAGAAUGUUAGCUAAGAGUGUAUAAGCUAAGGACCAAAGGCAAGUAUUCACAUUCCUCUCUUGUAUAUUUGAAAGUGCAAGUAUCCCUAUCUUCACUUAUUGUUCAAGUGAAAUUUUCUUCAAAUCCUAUUAUGCAAGUAUCUUGAAACCUUCUUUUAGAUAUAUUGCAAGUACUCUGGAACUUCCUUGAUAUAUUGCAAGUACCCCUGACAAUACUCUUGCUGGUUCAGAUUACAUAUAUGGAUAAUGUAGAGCAAGAAUGCAUGUCUUUGUCAAAUGAUUCAGAUACUAAAUGUUUUAAGUACGUAUUCCCCUGUUUCUAUGGAUUUAAUAUCUUUUAAAUUGUUUUAGGGGAAUAGUAACUUGUGAAUAUCUAUCCCGGAUGAGAUUCAAAUUCUGAAAAUGUUUACUGAUUAUCAUUGCUAAACCUGUGAUAUAAUACUUUGAGACAUGGUAUUGAUUCAUGAAUACCAUGUAAUGAUUUUGAGAAUGGGAUGGAUACAAAUCAAAUUGGAAACUGGAAAUGGAUCAGAUAUUCUUUUGGAGCUGCGUAAGAGGUCCGUUAUUCGGUAACGGCCCAGCAUGGUGGCGUAAGAGGCUAGUGUGGUUGUGUACACUGUGAAACCACCUAGUCCAGCGUCUAAAGACCUAGCUAGUCUUUAGGUUCCGGAACAUUAUUUCGUGAUGGCCGACUAGAGCCGUCCGGUGUUGAUAGACUGAUCAGCUAUCUUCACCUGUUAGCGUCCAAUAUAUCUGAUAUUCGUUUUAAGAUAAAAACCUGUUAUGGCAUGCUAGUGAUGAAAUUUUGAAACUAAAACUUAUGAUUAUCACAUUUUUGAGCAUGCUAAUAAAAGUUGAUUUCCAGUUUUCUUAUAUCAAUGAUGGUUACUGCUUUAUACUCAAAGCAUGCAUGAUUGCUAUGCUCUUGCUCUUAUAAACUGUUUUACGAUCAUAUAUCUUGUUUAUUCAUAUUGGUACUGCUGAGCAUUUGAUAACUUACCCUUGCAAACUACCUUCAUACAACUAUUUUACUACAAGAACUUGCUGAGCAUCUGAAGUUUGAAAUUUUGUCAUAAUUAUUAUAGACCUAAUUUGUCUAUAUAUUAUUGUUGGUUUUAGUUAAAUAUUGUGUGAUAGUCGGUAUGUGAGUACAUUUGUUUCGUAGAUUAUGUGUCCUUCUUUCUGUGAUUCCGAGGACGGAAUCCGUUUAAGGAGGGUAGAUUGUAAUGACUCGGAUUUUUUUUAAAAUCUAUUUAUUAUUAUAAAAGUGAUUUUCUUCAAGGAAGGGAAUAAGAUUUAAUAUUUUAUUCCAGUUUAAUUAAAUCAAAAUUUUAUAUUUUAAACUCCGAGUUAUUGUGUUGUUGGUAUAUAAUUGUUUCCUCAAAAAAAAAUGAGUUUCAUAUAUUAUUUUGAAAAAUUCUAAAUGAUUAUUAUGUGAUUAUAUUCUCGAGAGUCGGUGUAUUUUAUUUCUAUUGGAUUGUUGAGUUGUGUUAUCGAUUUGCAUUUGUUAUGGAUUUUAUACUGAUUUAAUUAUAUAAAAUAGUGUAUUGCAUAUAAAAUCAUUUUUAUCGCUUUAUAAUUCUAUUAAAUAUUUUUAGAGGUUUAUAGAAUUCAUAAAACGAUAUUUUGAUAAUUCUUCAGCUCUAAAUAAUUUUCCGUAUAGAUUAAAGUGGGGUCUUUCUAUUUAUUUCAAAAAUGAUUCAAAAAUCAUGAAAAUCAUAUUUUAUUAGUUUUUAAUUAUUUUAAGAUUUUAAAAAUUAUUUUGGUAUUUAUCUGGAUUAUUUUAUCUGCGAGUUGUUCGUUAAUUUGUUAAAUUCGGUUCGGUACCAGGCCAGCCAGCAGAGGGACACGUAUCCUUUACUCCGAUACGUGUCAUCACAGGACGAAUCAGUUUAUAUAAACUGAAUUAUUUUGUUUUUCUUUUAAAUCUCUCUGCUCUCUCCCUUUCUCACUGUUUCUCUCAUUUUUCUCUCUCUCGACCACUCUCUCCCCAGGUUCCCUCUCUCGCUCAUCUCCCACUCUCAUCUCUCUUUCUCUCUAAUCUCUCUCACCCUCACACACCUCUCGCCUGAAUCUCCCUCCACUGGCCAAGUCUCUCUCUCGCCGUCUCUCUCCGCGCGGCUCUUACUCCGGCGAACCACCACUUCCUCAGCCGUUCUUCACCUCUCCCUGGGUCUCUCUCGCCGCCGUCAGCCACCAGACUCGGCAUCUCUCUCUUGCUCUGGAUCGAGCAUUGAAGGCGUGAUACCAAGCAAAGGCAAGAAAAGGGGAGAGUUGUAUAGCGGUUCUGUAGUUACGGAUUGUUCGAGACGAGUAGAACCAGACGUUGGGGAUCAAGACUGAAGUUAGAUAAGAUUUCGUAUCAAGCUGCAGCAACCGCAUGAGCGCCAUAACAGAAAAUCAGGAAUAGUUGAGGGUGAUGUCUUGAGAAAGCAGAAUAAGAUAAGAAUGUUAGCUAAGAGUGUAUAAGCUAAGGACCAAAGCUAAGGCUAGAGAUGGAUUAUCUGAUUAGGCUGCGCAUGAGAGUGAUGCUAAGCGGCAAGGAUUCUAAGUGGUUAAGUUAUACAUCAGAGAUGAGAUCCAGACCCCCGGAUCUGAGGGCUGUCACAGUUGGUAUCAGAGCUACAGGUUUCAAAGUAUUGAAAUUAGAAUGUAGGUUGUGAUAAGAGUGUGUUUAGUGAAACCUCACAUAGAGAUAAGUCAAGGUUCUGGGUUAUAGUCUUUGUUGAUUGAACUGAGAUUGAGGUUAGAGUAAUGAUUCUGAGUAAUCAUUUUGGGAGUUUCCACGUCAAGAACUAAUGAGUUAGGAUCUCAGGAGAAACAUAAUUAGAUACCUUUAGUUUCCAAUCUUCCAAAACUUGAGAGGGAUUUUCUGAGUAACCAGUUCCAGCUAGACUCGUGGAUUAACUUGUCUAGUCUGGAAUGUUCCUUACUAUCUUUGCCACUUCUAGAAUGUUGGGUAGAGGUUAAUUCAUUAUUUUAUAGAGUGAUAAAAGGAGUAUGAGAUUUGAUCGAUCAUUGUGAGAAGCCAAGUGUAUAGUUCCCGAUUUGAGAAUUAUAUAGAAAGAGUGGUAGGCUACUCGAUAUAGUAUUAUGAGUAGGUUAAAAAGCCAACGCUCUACACUGCUGAUUUUACAAAGCUGGAUAUGACUUCUGACAGUACCAAGCUCGACAGGUUUUCGACCUAACGUGGAUAUUGGUGAUGGGAUCUACGAAGGCGAAUAUAAGUUAAUAAUAAUAUUUAUCGUAGAAUCGAAACGAGUUAUCAGAAUCGAUCGAGAAGACAUAUGUGAUAGCCUUGGCAAUACCAUCCUCAUUAUUGAUUCUAUUGAGCAUUUUCACAGUCAGUGAAUUGUUCUAAUAUCUCUUCUAUAGAGACAUUCAUGAAGUCCUUUUGUCAAUAUUUGUAUCUUUGAAAGCAAUCCAAUUUCGACUCCUAAGGUUCGUAUUAAAGAUUCAUUUAUUAAAAGUCAAUCAUUGUUGGUUGAUUUUGAAAUUUUCAUAUUUUCCACUCUAACUGAGAUGAACAACCCUACUAUAGGGGACACAAGGACUAUCUGUCUGUGUGAUAGAGGUUUGAUGGGACGCCAUCACUUGUGUGUGUUGUGAUUACAAGAAGGCUGAUAACCUUUAGUAGUGUCUAAUAUGGGCGCCAACACUAAGUUUGUUGGAUCAUAUUGAUCUCUCAGUCACUCGUUUAUUCAGAUGAAACCAAUUUUGAAAAGAUUUUUGUUCAAUGGCCAAAUUCUCAAAGAUUCAUUCCGAAAAGUUAAUUCUGCAUUUGCGAAAAUUUUUAAGAUUCCUACUACCUUAAAAGUUGAGGGUAUGCCAAGGAUUAGUCAAAAGUGGACAACGAUACGAUAUUAAGAAGCGUGUACGUUUAGUUCUUUUCGCGGAUUCCGAGGGCGGAAUCCUUAUAAGGGGAGUAGAAUGUAAUAUCUGAAGUUUGAAAUUUUGUCAUAAUUAUUAUAGACCUAAUUUGUCUAUAUAUUAUUGUUGGUUUUAGUUAAAUAUUGUGUGAUAGUCGGUAUGUGAGUACAUUUGUUUCGUAGAUUAUGUGUCCUUCUUUCUGUGAUUCCGAGGACGGAAUCCGUUUAAGGAGGGUAGAUUGUAAUGACUCGGAUUUUUUUUUAAAAUCUAUUUAUUAUUAUAAAAGUGAUUUUCUUCAAGGAAGGGAAUAAGAUUUAAUAUUUUAUUCCAGUUUAAUUAAAUCAAAAUUUUAUAUUUUAAACUCCGAGUUAUUGUGUUGUUGGUAUAUAAUUGUUUCCAAAAAAAAAAAAAAAUGAGUUUCAUAUAUUAUUUUGAAAAAUUCUAAAUGAUUAUUAUGUGAUUAUAUUCUCGAGAGUCGGUGUAUUUUAUUUCUAUUGGAUUGUUGAGUUGUGUUAUCGAUUUGCAUUUGUUAUGGAUUUUAUACUGAUUUAAUUAUAUAAAAUAGUGUAUUGCAUAUAAAAUCAUUUUUAUCGCUUUAUAAUUCUAUUAAAUAUUUUUAGAGGUAUAUAGAAUUCAUAAAACGAUAUUUUGAUAAUUCUCCAGCUCUAAAUAAUUUUCCGUAUAGAUUAAAGUGGGGUCUUUCUAUUUAUUUCAAAAAUGAUUCAAAAAUCAUGAAAAUCAUAUUUUAUUAGUUUUUAAUUAUUUUAAGAUUUUAAAAAUUAUUUUGGUAUUUAUCUGGAUUAUUUUAUCUGCGAGUUGUUCGUUAAUUUGUUAAAUUCGGUUCGGUACCAGGCCAGCCAGCAGAGGGACACGUAUCCUUUACUCCGAUACGUGUCAUCACAGGAUGAAUCAGUUUAUAUAAACUGAAUUAUUUUGUUUUUCUUUUAAAUCUCUCUGCUCUCUCCCUUUCUCACUGUUUCUCUCAUUUUUCUCUCUCUCGACCACUCUCUCCCCAGGUUCCCUCUCUCGCUCAUCUCCCACUCUCAUCUCUCUUUCUCUCUAAUCUCUCUCACCCUCACACACCUCUCGCCUGAAUCUCCCUCCACUGGCCAAGUCUCUCUCUCGCCGUCUCUCUCCGCGCGGCUCUUACUCCGGCGAACCACCACUUCCUCAGCCGUUCUUCACCUCUCCCUGGGUCUCUCUCGCUGCCGUCAGCCACCAGACUCGGCAUCUCUCUCUUGCUCUGGAUCGAGCAUUGAAGGCGUGAUACCAAGCAAAGGCAAGAAAAGGGGAGAGUUGUAUAGCGGUUCUGUAGUUACGGAUUGUUCGAGACGAGUAGAACCAGACGUUGGGGAUCAAGACUGAAGUUAGAUAAGAUUUCGUAUCAAGCUGCAGCAACCGCAUGAGCGCCAUAACAGAAAAUCAGGAAUAGUUGAGGGUGAUGUCUUGAGAAAGCAGAAUAAGAUAAGAAUGUUAGCUAAGAGUGUAUAAGCUAAGGACCAAAGCUAAGGCUAGAGAUGGAUUAUCUGAUUAGGCUGCGCAUGAGAGUGAUGCUAAGCGGCAAGGAUUCUAAGUGGUUAAGUUAUACAUCAGAGAUGAGGUUGGUUGAUUCUAAUUUCAAUACUGUAACCUGGAUGCGAUCCUGUUUUAGGGGGUUAAAGUGGUUUCUUUUAAAUCUGUUAUUAAAACUUUCAGGUUUUAAAUUAUUUGGUUUCGGAAAUUCAAGUUUUUAAAAAGUGUUUUGAAAAGGUUUUUGCUGGCAACGUUAGAAUCCAUUUUCGAAAGUGUUUUUAAAAGGUUUUGUUGGUUUUAAAUUGUAUUUUCAUUUACACGUGGCACCAGAUCCAGACCCCCGGAUCUGAGGGCUGUCACAAUCUAAAUGCAAGUUUUUUAUAAGUUCAGUUAGUUGACCACAAGUUUUUUGAGUUCUGUAACCCAACUACCAGGUUGGCCAUGAGUUAGAAUGAUUUUUUAGCAUAGUAAUCCUUUUUAAAUUAUCUUUUUAUCAAUAGUUUUAAUUUAAUAUUAUUUAAGGAUUAGUUUUCUCU